GGACGCGCCCGGCCGGGCACUCACUGCCCGCCGAGCCCCUCGGGCCUCACCGACACGGCCCGGAGCGGGACCUGCCCUCGGGAGGGAGUCUGCCAGGAGCGGUAUGGAGUCGGCUUGGAAGCCCUGUGUCCCGCGGUCCCUCGCUGAAAUCGGAUUGGAAGGACUGGAGCCACAGCAGCUGGGGAGCCACAGAGAGGUAUGUCAUGGACAGUGUGCUGCUCCACGCCAGCCUGGCUGGUCAGGGCAGUGCUUGUCACAGUUCCGUAGAGACACCACCGGGAAAACACCCUGCACUUAGAGAUCACUUAUCUCGAGUUUCCCCUUCAAAUCCACAUUCAGACUGAAGCCGAACAUCGUCCAAAAAUGGUGAGAGAUGACAGGCAUUGAAAAGGUAGCUUCAUUCCAAGCCUGUUCUCCUUGUGGGUCCCUCCUGUCUAAAUAAAGCUGUGGUACUUGUG